AUGCAGGACGGAGAUUCAGUUAAAAAAAAAAAAGAUCCCAACAGGCAACACACCGAAGAGGAAAGUGAGCCACCACUGAGCAUGGAAAGGCAUGUGACCCCAACAGUACCAGGGAAACACCCUGAAAGCACGUGGGAGACUCCAGGCAACACCACAGUGGCGGGAGCCUGGGUGGGGCGGCCUCUCUGGAAGACAGGGGUCACUGCCCAGCACCUGCUGAAGGCACACACCUGGACAGAGUCUGCACAGCCUCUCCUUCAGUCUUCAGAGGGCUCACCAAAGCUCCACUGUGGCCUGGGGUGUACAGAUGUGAGCUACUCCCAGACGGGGUCCACGUGGUACUUAGCCUACCCCCUGGAUUUUGGGUGGCUGGUAAGAUUACCCCAAACUAGGAAACAACACGAUCAUUUCACUCUCCUGAACGUGGCAUCCGAUGUAACCCUAAACUCGUAACCCCUCUAAUAGAGGCCCCUCAUCUUGAGUUAGUAACAUUACUAGGUAUUCCAAGCGGAUACUUAGUGAAAAUUUCAGUCUAGGUAUACUUUACACUGUAAAUCUUAACAGUGGCAUUUGAAUUUGUUAAAGUAAUUAUCAAUAAAAAAUGAAGAACAAUUAGAUUAAAAGGGAUGCUAUCAAAUCCCAACUAUUCUGUCUGGGAACACUGAGGCCACAGGAAGGGGGACUCCUCCACCAGAACCCAGGACCCCUGCUUCUCAAGCUGGUCUCCCCCACAACCUGCCCAGGCUCUCCACCUGCUCCCAGGACAGCCCCCAGUGCCAGCAUCCCUGUCCCAGCGUCUCCCAGUGACUCUCCACAGGCAGGGACACAGCAGGAAGCUAGAGAGCUCAGAAAGGCAGCGCAUGGAGGGAAGGCAGAUGAACCAUCAAAACAAAACCAGGGCGUAAAAGGGACUAUGACAACGCUGGCUAGUCACUCAGCAGCAGCCAUUGCAUCCCCAUGAGGGCAGAAUCCUGGCCAGCUCCCCAGGGCCUGGCAUGCCUCAGGUGGACACCAAGUGGUGGGCCAACAAGGACUGGCGGCCCUAUGAAGUGCUAAUCAGCAACUGAGCUGCAGGCCUCAGCCCAGGUGCCAGACUCAGCUGUCUUCUCAGAACCUCAGGGAGCUUGCCAGGAACAGCAGCAAAGCUGGAUGUGUGCUCCUUAGAAAACACUCAUAAGGCCCAGCGGGGACCACUGGACAGCUAAGCCACUGAGACAUCUCCAGGGAAAUGACUGCCUCUCGCUCAGCAGUGGUGUCCCCGAGCACUCACGCAUAAUCCGCUGGGACAGCUGACAGGCUCAGCAGAAGCAGCUGCCUGGCCUUUGGGGUGGGGUGGGGGGUGGGGCGGAUGCGACGGACAGACACACAGCCGGACAGCCCAGCAGUUUCAGACUGGGCCCAGAGUCCAAACCUCUUCACUUGUCAGGUCAGUCCCUGUCCUCACACACUUGCUUCUUUUGAAGGCUCGAAGCUUCUCGGAGUAACCCUGAGGUUCCAAGCACAGCCAGGAUAGCCCCUAGGCCGAGGGGAGACUCAGCUCCCAGCAACCUCCGCUGGCCCCAGCAAACCAUCCUCAGCAGCACUGCACCCCCCCACCCCCCUCACAGGGGUCCCCCUCCGCUCUGCACACCUGCGCCCUUGCAGCAUCCUGAGACAAGCGCACCCUCAGGAAGCGGGCGGGCGGCGGCGGACUCCCAGCCCAACCGGGGGAGGCACCCUGCUUGGUGGAGCUGGGCUGCAGGACUGGCUCCCCCAUCCCCGAGCAGGUCUCCUUCCUGGAGGCCNNNNNNNNNNNNNNNNNNNGCGCGCCGGCGCGCCCGGGGGCGCCCCUCCCCGCCCCCCGGCGGCGGCUUCCAGGCCUCAAGACCCGCCCUGGCAGUGCUCAGCGAAUGUCCCCAUUCCCACCAGCCAAGAGGGUGUGAACUCACAUUUACUGGGCACCACGUUGGGUGCCAGGCACUCAAAUAAAGGAUCCUUCCAACCCUCACAGUACCCUACUGACACGGAUGGUAUUAUCCUCAUUUUAUGGACAAGCGAAGGAGGCUAAGUCACUUGCCCCAGGUCACGCUGCUGUUGUUAAGGGUGGAAUCAGAGACUAAAGAGAGACGGAGCCUCAAAGUUCUCCCCAACUAUGCAAAGGAGGCUCACUUGUGAUUAAUUAGAGCAAUAAAGUUAUGAUAAAUGAUUUUCCUGAAACAUGUUCCACCUUGAGUGCCUGUGACCAAGGGCUUCAGAUGUGCCAGCCAGGGGCCCACCACCGAGAGCACCAACGCUCAGGCUCCCCCACUUACCACAACGGAGUCAUUAUGAGUCAGGUCGACGACCACAGGCUCUAAAGAUUCACAGGUGAGGUCCACUAUUUCAUCUCCAGCUUCAAAAUAAAGCAUUUUAACAAGCUUUAGAAGAAAAGUAAAGGCAUAUUGCCCAGUUUCAUUAAUAUGACAACUACCAAAACACAGCUUAUGGCAAACAUCCCUGGUCCAGUAGUAAAGGGGCAAGCAAUGAACACUCCUCGAGCCCUGCUCUGAACAACACUGCGCGGUUUAACCAAUACACCAGCCCUCCCUGUGGCUUCACACCCCACCCCUGCGCAUUCGCAGCAGAGGAGGCAGGGGGGGUGCACAGCCGGGGAGCCGCCAGGCACGCUGGGCUCGGGCUUCGGGGCGGGUCUGUCUGGAAGCUCCGCUCCCUCGAUCUCAGGUCAGGCUGUACUCGGCACCGCAGAGGCUGUACUCUUCAUCAGUUGCAUUUUCAUCUCCCUUUAGCCCACUGGCACUUCCCAACUUGGCUGGGCCGCAACGGUUUACUCACUGGUGCCCCAAAACCCCAACUUGCCAAGAGAGGUCGAGCCUGUCCUGCCACUUGCCUGUGGGCCCGAGAGUACACUGCACGUCUCCCCACGCGUGGGACACGUGGGAAGGGCGUGUGCCAAACAGUUACCAGCACUGAGGUCUGGCAGUGCACAACCUCCAUUUCUAUAAACUGAAACAAGAUUUACAACAAGAUUUACAACCAUCUUUGCUUCUAUUAUUCAUAACAUUAAAAAGCAGGAGGAAAGAACUUCUAGAAAUAAUGGUCAAUAUUUGGGGAAAGUCACUUGUAAUACAUUUAACAUAUUCAAAUUUUUGUUCUCCUGGAUUAAAAAGUUCACAGGAAUAAACAUCAUAAUAUAUCAAUGAUUCCAACAUAAUUUAUACAAAAUGAUUUUCUUUUAAAGAAUAGUCCAUAAUGGAUCUAUCAUAACUUACAGAACUGUUUCUCUUUCUGGUGAACACCGUUUUGGGUUCUUACAAUAAAAACUAUGCCAACGGGCAGCUUGUGCACGGAGUCCUGCACAUGGGCGUGAGGCUCACCGAGGACGGAAAAUGCCACCGUGGAGAGCAGUGGGCCUCAGGCAGGCUGGAGACUCUGAGCCCUCUGAGAGGCACGCAUGGGUUCCGUGUCCCACAGGAGCAGACCCCUGCACCUGCUGGGGGGGCGCGGGGGAAGCAGGGUGGCCCAGGGCUGUACGGGUCUGCCCGAAGUGAGAUCAGAGACCAGAGACAGGCGGAGGCCUCACUCCCUGAAGGGCCAUGACAUGACCUCAGGCAAGCCGCUUCUCUCCAAGUCUCAGUUCUCGUGCCUCAUAAUUACAAAAGCAACCUUCCCGUAUGCAGAGCGGAGGGACUGACGCAGGCCAUGUGCCACUGCCCUGAGCAGCCGAGCAGAGGGGAAAGAGCCAAUCUGCCUCCGCCCAUGCCCAGUGCCCUCCAGCCCAGGACGGUCGGCGCCAGGUCUGCCUUCUGCGGCAACUGUCGGUCUUGAUGAAGGAGAAAAGAAACCUGAGUACUUCCUGAGGCCAAGUUUAAGUUGAGACACAACUUCAAAGAGAAAAGGUGGACCCAGACAGUGUCCACGUCUAAGCUGCGCAGCCUCCGAGGAUGGCUGAUUAGGCCCAGGGGGCAGCUCUGGCUCACUUCAGCUUUGAGUCGUGGACGGUGAGUCUGAGACUGUCGGUCUUAUAAACACAGCGACUAAGCUGGACCUUGUAUAGCGCAUCUGACACGUACAGCUCUGAGUGUUCGUGUCACCUACUCACUUCAGAGCUGGAACAGCUCUACACAGAGCUACUGCAUAUACACGCGCCACGACCCUCGCACGCACGCACACGCGCCACGACCCUCACACACAGCCCCAUUAUUCAUGUGUUCACACAUGCCAUAAUCCUCACACACACACACGCCACAAUCCUCACAUGCACGCAUGCGAUGAUCCUCACACAGCUCCAUUAUUCAUGUGUUCACAUACGCCAUUAUCUGCACACACACACAUGCAUGAUCCUCACAUACAAACAGGCCAUUAUGCCCAUAUAUACACACAUGCCACUCAUUAUCCACGUGCACAGAAACCAUCAUCCAUGUGCACACAUUAUCCUCACACAUACACGCCACUCUCCUAUACACACACCCCCCAUUAUCCACGUAUACAUACACACAUCAUUCUCCUCAUAUACACACACACACGCCAUUGUGCUCAUAUACACACCAUUGUCCAAGUCAGACGGUAGGUGUUGCAAGAGGGCACCAGAGGGCAGACACACUGAAACCACACUCACAGAAAACUAGUCAGUCUAAUCACACUAGGACCACAGCCUUGGCUAACUCAAUGAAACUAAGCCAUGCCCGCAGGGCAAACCAAGACGGGCGGGUCACGGUGGAGAGGUCUGACAGAAUGCGCUCCACUGGAGAAGGGAAUGGCAAACCACUUCAGUAUUCUUGCCUUGAGAACCCCAAGGUCAUUAGGCUCUGGUAAAACCCAUGUUGUUUAGACUUUUGUAGAAUAGUUUCCCUGAGGGCAGGUC
rnacentral:lncRNA from 1 species